UUCAGGUCGAUGUGCGACGUGGUGAGCUGGGAAGAAUUUUUAAAGCAGUGUUGUCGUUUCGUGUCGCGAAACAUUAUUACAAACUUAGUGUUCCGAAUGGGUUUUAAUCGCAUAAUUACGAUUGAACAUCCUUACAGGAAACUGCCUUUGACUCCACCUACAUCCGAAGAUGACUCUGACUUGGAUUCUGAGUAUGUAGCUGAUGACGAAAAAGAGAAUAAAAUUCCGAACUUUUUUAAGCUUGAUAAGUUAAUCGACAAAAAUUAUGUGUUAAUGAAUGAGUUACGCCAAAGUUACAAUGAGGGAAAGUUAUAUCCCCAAUUAGAUCAGUGGGAAUAUGGCAGUUGUCGUGGUUAUACAAUUAAUGUGUAGAGACCCUAUUUGAGAAAUUCGAUAAACUUGAUGUACACAUUAACAAUGGAAUUACGCCGGGCCCUACACAAGUUCAAUCAGCACUCUUCACAGCAGAAGUUGUCGCUCCAAAAGAUAUUGAAAACGGAGAAGAAAUUCUCGAUGAAGAAAAGACCAAUGACAGGGAAGACUUAAUUACUACUAAUGUGAAACCAAUUGAUAAGUCAAACGUAAAAAGUGUGUCGAAUCUAAACCAAAGCCGCAUAAAAAAACCAUUAAAAAGGCUGAAAAGCAAAUAUUAUAUAUAUACAAAAAAGUGCUCGGAAAAAAUCUCUGAAGAAAAGCGAAUUAUAAUAUUUUAAUAAGCUUGACUUUGGAGAAAGACGCCUAUUUUUGGGGGAAGUUCUACAGGAAAGAA